GACGGGGGAUGCGAGCGUUAUCCGGAAUGAUUGGGCGUAAAGGGUCCGCAGGUGGCCCGGUCAGUCCGCUGUCAAAGCCUGGGGCUCAACCCUGGAGAGGCGGCGGAGACCACCGGGCUUGAGUCCGGUAGGGGCAGAGGGAAUUCCCGGUGGAGCGGUGAAAUGCGUAGAGAUCCGGAAGAACACCGGUGGCGAAGGCGGCCCGCUGGGCAGAGACUGACGCUGAGGCGCGACAGCGUGGGGAGCAAACAGG
rnacentral:rRNA from 1 species